AUGAGCCAGGCGGAGGGCGCGACUAAGGGUGAUGGCCGGUGCACGGAGGUUGAGCGGUCCUGGAAGGCGUUGGUGGAGGUGGUUAUCGGAGCUGAUGGUGCGGAUCUAGAAUUCGCUGGUUCGCGGCUACGGCGUCAUGGAGAUCACAGAAGAUGCUUCCGUGAGAAUUUAUCGGUUGCCGGUAAUUUGGUUUCUUGCAGAUUGUUAGCAUAA